rnacentral:rRNA from 1 species
GAGCGGCGGACGGGUGGAGGUAACGCGUGGGUAACCUGCCUCAUACAGGGGGAUAACAGUCAGAAAUGACUGCUAAUACCGCAUAAGACCGCAGUACCGCAUGGUACGGUGGUAAAAACUCCGGUGGUAUGAGAUGGACCCCGCGUCUGAUUAGCUAGUUGGUAAGGUAACGGCUUACCAAGGCGACGAUCAGUAGCCGGCCUGAGAGGGCGACCGGCCACAUUGGGACUGAGACACGGCCCAAACUCCUACGGGAGGCAGCAGUGGGGAAUAUUGCACAAUGGGGGAAACCCUGAUGCAGCGACGCCGCGUGAAGGAUGAAGUAUUUCGGUAUGUAAACUUCUAUCAGCAGGGAAGAAAAUGACGGUACCUGACUAAGAAGCCCCGGCUAACUACGUGCCAGCAGCCGC